UCGCCCCCCGAACUGGGUUACUUGAGUGCUGGAGGGGAAAGGGAAUUCCUAGUGUAGCGGUGAAAUGCGUAGAUAUUAGGAGGAACACCAGUGGCGAAGGCGCUUUCUGGACAGUAACUGACACUGAGGUACGAAAGUGUGGGGAGCAAACAGGAUUAGAUCCCUGGUAGUCCACACCGUAAACGAUGAGCACUAGGUGUUGGGCUCGCAAGAGUUCGGUGCGCAGUUAACGCAUUAAGUGCUCCGCCUGGGGAGUACGUACGCAAGUAUGAAACUCAAAGAAUUGACGGGGACCCGCACAAGCAGCGGAGCAUGUGGUUUAAUUCGAAGCAACGCGAAGACCUUACCAGGGCUUGACAUCCCUCUGACCGGCCUGAUAACGACGGCCUUUCUUCGGACAGGGUGACAGGUGGUGCAUGGUUGUCGUCAGCUCGUGUCGUGAGAUGUUGGGUUAAGUCCCGAACGAGCGCAACCCUUGUCAUUAGUUGCCAUCAUUUGGUUGGGCACUCUAGUGAGACUGCGGGGACAACUCGGAGGAAGGUGGGGAUGACGUCAAAUCAUCAUGCCCCUUAUGUUCUGGGUACACACGUGCCACAAUGGUCGGUACAAAGAGUCGCGAGACCGUGAGGUGGAGCCAAUCUAAAAACCGAUCCCAGUUCGGAUUGCAGGCUGCAACUCGCCUGCAUGAAGUCGGAGUUGCUGUAAUCGUGGAUCAGAAUGCCACGGUGAAUGCGUUCCCGGGUCUUGUACACACCGCCCGU
rnacentral:rRNA from 1 species